GCUCGCACCACCAGUCAAAUUUGGUCCUCCACCACUCUGGUUCUCCACCUAGGGAGGGGUGGAAGUGCCAAACCUGAGUGACGCUGAGCUCACGUGGGACAGUUCGCCAUACCUGGAGUGUGCAAUCAGGCCCAGCUCAAUUCAGCCCACUGUGGGGCAAACUCACUGUCCAGCCCUGCUCCCUAAGGGACCUCAGCUCCUCUCUGCUUUCUGUGACAUCCUUGUUUUCCCCCACCUCUGCUGUGACAUUUAUUAAAAUUCACCAUGAAAAGAAUCAUAGCCUCAACCAUACCCCGUCCUCCCUACACUUUGUCCAGCCCUCACAGUCUGCCCUUGCCCUUACAUCCCUUUUCAUUGUUCCAGUUCCCUUGUUUCUAGCAUCCUCCCUCUCCUAUUCCACCUUGCAGCGCCUCUGCUUUUCGUCCCUCAGAAGCCCCGUCCCAUUUUUCCUGUCACACCUCUCUUCCUUCGUGGUUCCCUCUUCUGCUGUCCUCCAUUUCUGUUUGCCCCUCUGCCACUUUCUCUGGCAUGCUCUACAGGUACCAUAACAUCCAUCUGAGAAUAGCUCUGGUGUUUCCCCUAGUCUCCUUAUCCACCCCAGAAUCCAUUUCUUCUUCCCACCAGGCAGAGCCAGGUCCAACAGAGCCCGUUGGCCUGUUUGACAGGGGGGCUCCAGUUAUUCAGAGUUGUGAGAGGGAGAAAGAGGAUGGAGAGGAGGUUCUGGGGAAGGGACAAGCCUCUCCCUUGUGAGCUAAAGAGCAAUUCCCUCCACUGUGGGAAAGUAGCAGGCUUAGCCUGUACGGGGAGACUUUGGCAAACCAGUAAAGUGCCUGAAACCACUAUGGCUUAUUACUAAAAGCAGCCAAGUCAGCAGGCUUAGCUUAACCAAGGCAGGAGGGGAAGGAGGUUUUGGGUGACCCUGCGUCCUUCCUGAUAAGAAUUGUGUUGAAGUUGCUGAUAUAUGCAUCUUAGAAGAGCAGGAUGUGCCCCAGGAAUGUCUAUUGGGGCCUCAAACCCACACCUGGUUAAUCAAUAAUCAGAAGGAACCUCUUGCUUGACCAUUGAAACCGCUUACUUAACAAGUUUUGCUUUAAAGGACAUGUCAUUCUAUUACUAAUGUAUAAAUAAGGGCGAAAAGUUUGAGGUAGGGGGACUCUUCAGGACUGGACUCUCUCUCUCCGGAUGCAUCUUGCGUUUCCCAGCAGCAGACAGGCUGCCGCUGUGCCACUCGAGAGCCACGCUCAGCUUUGUUUACAGCUUUUACACUAGCUCUUUCGGAAGGCACAAAUGAUUUCUCAGCAAUAAAAUCCCCAGUGGACACAUCUGUUGGCUCGGGAAACAGCACAGGAGACAGACAGAGGCGGUUGGCUUGAGAUCCCAUUGUUCACACAACUUUAAAAGAAGAAGAAGAAGAAGUUAUGCUUGGGCAAUGGUCCACAACUGGCUGGAGGGAAAAAAUAGAUUGACAUAAGGCCUGGACAUACUGUAAAAAAGAAACCACAAUACGAUAAUCAAGACUCACAGGACAAACUGCCAAAAAGGAACACAGCAGAGAGACAAGCACAACCGACAAGAGGGCUGGAUUGAGGGGUACUAAAUUCCCCAAAUACUUUGACUUCUGUUUCAUUAGAAAUGAGGGCUGAGGGUGGGAGACCAGAAAGCGAGUGUGAAAAAUCGGGACACUUUUUUUUCGGGGGUGGGUGGGGAGGGUAUAGCUGGAUCUCUCAGACAAAACCCCAAAUAUCAGGACAGCCUCGCUAAAAUCAGGAUGUCUGAUCACCCUGGCUGAGGGGUGAAUCUAACUCACAACAGGAGAACAUGGAGAAAUGCCAUGGAACCAAAUUUUUAAGGAGAAUUUUGAGAUACUAAUUUUAAAAACCGUAUAUAUUUUUAAGUAUAGAACGAACCAUUUUUAUUGGGCUUCCAUGCGCCUCAGUUUCACCAUCUGUAAACUGGGGAUAAUAAUACUGACCUCCUUUGUAAAGUACGCUGAGAUCUACUGAAGUAAAAGUGCUAUAUAAGAGCUAGGUGGUAGGAUUUUAAUGCAGAAUGACAGUAAAGCUUUUCAGCUCCAAGUCCCACUGUGCAAAGAAAUGAGCUGGUUGAAACUUUUCCAUUAAAACUGGAGGGUUUUGUUUGUUUGGGGUUUUUUUGUCAAAAAAUGGGUUUUCAAUCAAAUGAAAAGGUUUCUGGAAAGUGUCUGAUUUCCUCAAAAACUGAUUAUCAGAAAAUUGAAAACCUCAGAAAUGAAAUGUUAUGUCGGAAAACACUGAGGUUUUCAUUUUUUGAGGAAAAGGAGAAAUUUUUCACUGAAAAUUUUGACAAAAACAAUGUUUAUUUGUUAGUUAAUUAUCAGCUACAUUUUCCAUAGGGGAAAAAAAGACAUUUUCCAACCAGCUUUAUUAAAUAGGCCAUCCUUCCCUCAGUAAAUUUACAGUGUACAAAAAAACUGAGGCUGAAGAUGGCAGGAGAGCGGUGGGAAAAUGACAUUUGAUUAAACUGAUUUUGUUAGUGAAAUCGUAUCAAUUUUUACUAAACUUUGUUUUAAAAAAAAUUGGAAAAAAGUUUUGAAAGCUUCAAAAUGUCCCAUUUUGACAUUUUCAGAAUGAAACAUUUCAACUUUUUGUUUAACAAUUUACUUUAUUUUAUAUUGAAAAAAUACUAAAAUAAAAAAGGAUCAAAAUUAUUUUUCAGAUUUUCAUUUCAAGAAAAAUUUCAAAAUUUUGGAGCUUCAGUCCAAUUCAGGAUUUCUUUUUUAAAUCUUGAAAUUUUUUGCAGGACACAAAAU